GGGUAUGGCUGUUAGCGAUGUAAAGUGGUACGGGAGCUGGGUUUAGAACGUCGUGAGACAGUUCGGUCCCUAUCUGCCGUGGGCGCUGGAGAACUGAGGGGGGCUGCUCCUAGUACGAGAGGACCGGAGUGGACGCAUCACUGGUGUUCGGGUUGUCAUGCCAAUGGCACUGCCCGGUAGCUAAAUGCGGAAGAGAUAAGUGCUGAAAGCAUCUAAGCACGAAACUUGCCCCGAGAUGAGUUCUCCCUGACUCCUUGAGAGUCCUGAAGGAACGUUGAAGACGACGACGUUGAUAGGCCGGGUGUGUAAGCGCAGCGAUGCGUUGAGCUAACCGGUACUAAUGAACCGUGAGGCUUAACCUUACAACGCCGAAG
rnacentral:rRNA from 1 species